rnacentral:snRNA from 1 species
GUACUUGCUUCCGCAGCACAUAUACUCAAACUGGAACUAUACAAAGAAGAUUAGCAUGGCCCCUGCACAAGGAUGACAUGCAAAUUCAUGAAGCAUUCCAUAUUUUU